CAUAGGUUAAUGAGGCGAACCGGGGGAACUGAAACAUCUAAGUACCCCGAGGAAAAGAAAUCAACCGAGAUUCCCCCAGUAGCGGCGAGCGAACGGGGAGGAGCCCAGAGCCUGAAUCAGUGUGUGUGUUAGUGGAAGCGUCUGGAAAGGCGCGCGAUACAGGGUGACAGCCCCGUACACAAAAAUGCACAUAUUGUGAGCUCGAUGAGUAGGGCGGGACACGUGGUAUCCUGUCUGAAUAUGGGGGGACCAUCCUCCAAGGCUAAAUACUCCUGACUGACCGAUAGUGAACCAGUACCGUGAGGGAAAGGCGAAAAGAACCCCGGCGAGGGGAGUGAAAAAGAACCUGAAACCGUGUACGUACAAGCAGUGGGAGCCUCUUAAUGGGGUGACUGCGUACCUUUUGUAUAAUGGGUCAGCGACUUAUAUUCUGUAGCAAGGUUAACCGAAUAGGGGAGCCGAAGGGAAACCGAGUCUUAACUGGGCGUUAAGUUGCAGGGUAUAGACCCGAAACCCGGUGAUCUAGCCAUGGGCAGGUUGAAGGUUGGGUAACACUAACUGGAGGACCGAACCGACUAAUGUUGAAAAAUUAGCGGAUGACUUGUGGCUGGGGGUGAAAGGCCAAUCAAACCGGGAGAUAGCUGGUUCUCCCCGAAAGCUAUUUAGGUAGCGCCUCGUGAAUUCAUCUCCGGGGGUAGAGCACUGUUUCGGCAAGGGGGUCAUCCCGACUUACCAACCCGAUGCAAACUGCGAAUACCGGAGAAUGUUAUCACGGGAGACACACGGCGGGUGCUAACGUCCGUCGUGAAGAGGGAAACAACCCAGACCGCCAGCUAAGGUCCCAAAGUCAUGGUUAAGUGGGAAACGAUGUGGGAAGGCCCAGACAGCCAGGAUGUUGGCUUAGAAGCAGCCAUCAUUUAAAGAAAGCGUAAUAGCUCACUGGUCGAGUCGGCCUGCGCGGAAGAUGUAACGGGGCUAAACCAUGCACCGAAGCUGCGGCAGCGACACUAUGUGUUGUUGGGUAGGGGAGCGUUCUGUAAGCCUGUGAAGGUGGCCUGUGAGGGUUGCUGGAGGUAUCAGAAGUGCGAAUGCUGACAUAAGUAACGAUAAAGCGGGUGAAAAGCCCGCUCGCCGGAAGACCAAGGGUUCCUGUCCAACGUUAAUCGGGGCAGGGUGAGUCGACCCCUAAGGCGAGGCCGAAAGGCGUAGUCGAUGGGAAACAGGUUAAUAUUCCUGUACUUGGUGUUACUGCGAAGGGGGGACGGAGAAGGCUAUGUUGGCCGGGCGACGGUUGUCCCGGUUUAAGCGUGUAGGCUGGUUUUCCAGGCAAAUCCGGAAAAUCAAGGCUGAGGCGUGAUGACGAGGCACUACGGUGCUGAAGCGACAAAUGCCCUGCUUCCAGGAAAAGCCUCUAAGCAUCAGGUAACAUCAAAUCGUACCCCAAACCGACACAGGUGGUCAGGUAGAGAAUACCAAGGCGCUUGAGAGAACUCGGGUGAAGGAACUAGGCAAAAUGGUGCCGUAACUUCGGGAGAAGGCACGCUGAUAUGUAGGUGAAGCGACUUGCUCGUGGAGCUGAAAUCAGUCGAAGAUACCAGCUGGCUGCAACUGUUUAUUAAAAACACAGCACUGUGCAAACACGAAAGUGGACGUAUACGGUGUGACGCCUGCCCGGUGCCGGAAGGUUAAUUGAUGGGGUUAGCGGUAACGCGAAGCUCUUGAUCGAAGCCCCGGUAAACGGCGGCCGUAACUAUAACGGUCCUAAGGUAGCGAAAUUCCUUGUCGGGUAAGUUCCGACCUGCACGAAUGGCGUAAUGAUGGCCAGGCUGUCUCCACCCGAGACUCAGUGAAAUUGAACUCGCUGUGAAGAUGCAGUGUACCCGCGGCAAGACGGAAAGACCCCGUGAACCUUUACUAUAGCUUGACACUGAACAUUGAGCCUUGAUGUGUAGGAUAGGUGGGAGGCUUUGAAGUGUGGACGCCAGUCUGCAUGGAGCCGACCUUGAAAUACCACCCUUUAAUGUUUGAUGUUCUAACGUGGGCCCCUUACCGGGGUUGCGGACAGUGUCUGGUGGGUAGUUUGACUGGGGCGGUCUCCUCCUAAAGAGUAACGGAGGAGCACGAAGGUUGGCUAAUCCUGGUCGGACAUCAGGAGGUUAGUGCAAUGGCAUAAGCCAGCUUGACUGCGAGCGUGACGGCGCGAGCAGGUGCGAAAGCAGGUCAUAGUGAUCCGGUGGUUCUGAAUGGAAGGGCCAUCGCUCAACGGAUAAAAGGUACUCCGGGGAUAACAGGCUGAUACCGCCCAAGAGUUCAUAUCGACGGCGGUGUUUGGCACCUCGAUGUCGGCUCAUCACAUCCUGGGGCUGAAGUAGGUCCCAAGGGUAUGGCUGUUCGCCAUUUAAAGUGGUACGCGAGCUGGGUUUAGAACGUCGUGAGACAGUUCGGUCCCUAUCUGCCGUGGGCGCUGGAGAACUGAGGGGGGCUGCUCCUAGUACGAGAGGACCGGAGUGGACGCAUCACUGGUGUUCGGGUUGUCAUGCCAAUGGCACUGCCCGGUAGCUAAAUGCGGAAGAGAUAAGUGCUGAAAGCAUCUAAGCACGAAACUUGCCCCGAGAUGAGUUCUCCCUGACUCCUUGAGAGUCCUGAAGGAACGUUGAAGACGACGACGUUGAUAGGCCGGGUGUGUAAGCGCAGCGAUGCGUUGAGCUAACCGGU
rnacentral:rRNA from 1 species